AUUGAACGCUGGCGGCAGGCCUAACACAUGCAAGUCGAGCGGAGCGGCGGACGGGGGAGUAAUGCCUAGGAAUCUGCCUGGCAGUGGGGGAUAACGUCCGGAAACGGGCGCUAAUCCCGCAUACUAUCAGAUGAGCCUAGGUCGGAUUAGCUAGUUGGUGGGGUAAAGGCCUACCAAGGCGACGAUCCGUAACUGGUCUGAGAGGAUGCUAAGUUACACGGGAACUGUGACACGGUCCAGAGUCCUAGGGGAGGCAGCAGUGGGGAAGAUGGGACAAUGGGCGAAAGCCUGAUCCAGCCAUGCCGCGGGUGUGAAGAAGGUAUUCGGAUUGUAAAGCACUUUAAGUUGGGAGGCGUUACCAACAGAAUAAGCACCGGCUAACUUCGUGCCAGCAGCCGCGGUAAUUC
rnacentral:rRNA from 1 species